rnacentral:rRNA from 1 species
GCCCAAAACCGCUAAUAAAUAACACAAAAUUACCUACAUACACCAAACCAAAACAUUUACCCAAGCUAGUAGAUGAGAUCGAACACUAUCAAUUAGCCCUGAAAGUACCGCAAGGGAACAAUGAAAGAAAAAUGAAAAACUCUAAGCACAAAAUAGCAAAGAUCAACUCUUGUACCUCCUGCAUCAUGGUUUAGCAAAACCCUUCCAGACAAAGAGAACCUCCAGCCUGCCCACCCGAAACCAAACGAGCUAUUUUUGGGCAGUAAUUAAAUGAACACACCCGUCCCUGUAGCAAAAGGGUGGGAAGACCUAAAAAUAGAGGCGAAAAGCCUACCGAGCUUGGUGAUAGCUGGUUACUCAACAAAGAAUAUAAGUUCAACUUUAGGUAUUUACAAGAGCACCCCUAACUUCUACUUUAACCUAAAGAAAAUCAAUGGGGGUACAGCCCCAUUGAACCGGAAUACAGCCCGAAUUGAGAGUAAUUAUAUUUAUUCUUUUCUAAGUAGGCCCCAAAGCAGCCACCAAACUAUUGCGUUACAGCAUAACUUAAAACAAUUUUAAUCAUUAAAUAAACCUCCCAACAUACUUCGAGUUAUUCUAUACCCCUAUAGAAACACCAAUGCUAAAAUUAGUAAUAAGAAACAAUUAUUUCUCUCCGCACCCCCUUAAAUCAGAACUAGAAAAACUGCUGAUAAUUAACAAACAACGACCUUCAUUUUAUCAAGCUUUAAUGUCACUUACUUUUGUUACCCCAACACAGGCGUGCAAAAAAGAAAGACCAAAAGCCGCAAAAGGAACUCGGCAAAAUUAGUCCCAACUGUUUACCAAAAACAUAGCCUUUAGCUUUACAAGUAUUAAAGGUACCGCCUGCCCAGUGACUCUUUUAACGGCCGCGGUAUCCUAACCGUGCAAAGGUAGCAUAAUCACUUGUCCCCUAAAUAGGGACUAGAAUGAAUGGCUAAAUGAGGACUAAACUGUCUCUUGCAGGCUGGCCAAUGAAAUUGAUUUUCCAGUACAAAAGCUGGAAUAAAAACAUAAGACGAGAAGACCCUGUGGAGCUUCAAAACCGAACUCAUUAAACAUGUUUCUUCGGAUUUUUAGUUGGGGCGACUUCGGAGAACAAAAAAACCUCCAAAACAUGACCUACCCACUUUGUCAAGAUCAACAUACCAAAACAACUACAUGAGACCCAGCAACUACCUUAAUGUUAUCUGACCAGUGAACCAAGUUACCCCAGGGAUAACAGCGCCAUCCCCUUCUAGAGUCCCUAUCGACAAGGGGGUUUACGACCUCGAUGUUGGAUCAGGACAUCCCAAUGGUGCAGCCGCCAUUAAAGGUUCGUUUGUUCAACGAUUAAAGUCCUACGUGAUCUGAGUUCAGACCGGAGAAAUCCAGGUCGGUUUCUAUCUAUGUGGCCCUAUCCUCAGUACGAAAGGACCAAGAUAGCAGGACCAAUACCAAAAGAACGUCCUAAUUAAAACUAUUGAACACCACUAAAAUAAUAAAAGUGCCCCCUACCUAGCCCGAAAUCAGGGCUU